AACGAACGCUGGCGGCAUGCCUAACACAUGCAAGUCGAACGAGACCUUCGGGUCUAGUGGCGCACGGGUGCGUAACGCGUGGGAACCUGCCUUUAGGUUCGGAAUAACUCAGAGAAAUUUGAGCUAAUACCGGAUGAUGUCUUCGGACCAAAGAUUUAUCGCCUUUAGAUGGGCCCGCGUUGGAUUAGCUAGUUGGUGGGGUAAAGGCCUACCAAGGCGACGAUCCAUAGCUGGUCUGAGAGGAUGAUCAGCCACACUGGGACUGAGACACGGCCCAGACUCCUACGGAAGGCAGCAGUGGGGAAUAUUGGACAAUGGGCGAAAGCCUGAUCCAGCAAUGCCGCGUAAGUGAUGAAGGCCUUAGGGUUGUAAAUCUCUUUUACCCGAGAUGAUAAUGACGGUAUCGGGAGAAUAAGCACCGGCUAACUCCGUG
rnacentral:rRNA from 1 species